rnacentral:rRNA from 1 species
CACGUAGGGUGCGAGCGUUGUCCGGAAUUAUUGGGCGUAAAGAGCUCGUAGGCGGUGUGUCGCGUCGGCCGUGAAAACCUGCAGCUUAACUGUGGGCUUGCGGUCGAUACGGGCAUCACUGGAGUUCGGCAGGGGAGACUGGAAUUCCUGGUGUAGCGGUGAAAUGCGCAGAUAUCAGGAGGGAACACCGGUGGCGAAGGCUGGGU